UGGGGAAUUUUGACAAUGGGCGAAAGCCUGAUCCAGCAAUGCCGCGUGUGUGAAGAAGGCCUUCGGGUUGUAAAGCACUUUUGUCCGGAAAGAAAUCCUUGGCUCUAAUACAGUCGGGGGAUGACGGUACCGGAAGAAUAAGCACCGGCUAACUACGUGCCAGCAGCCGCGGUAAUACGUAGGGUGCAAGCGUUAAUCGGAAUUACUGGGCGUAAAGCGUGCGCAGGCGGUUUGCUAAGACCGAUGUGAAAUCCCCGGGCGUCAACCUGGGAACUGCAUUGGUGACUGCAGGCUAGAGUAUGGCAGAGGGGGGUAAAUUCCACGUGUAGCAGUGAAAUGCGUAGAGAUGUGGAGGAAUACCGAUGGCGAAGGCAGCCCCCUGGGCCAAUACUGACGCUCAUGCACGAAAGCGUGGGGAGCAAACAGGAUUAGAUACCCUGGUAGUCCACGCCCUAAACGAUGUCAACUAGUUGUUGGGGAUUCAUUUCCUUAGUAACGUAGCUAACGCGUGAAGUUGACCGCCUGGGGAGUACGGUCGCAAGAUUAAAACUCAAAGGAAUUGACGGGGUCAUAGCUGUUUCCU
rnacentral:rRNA from 1 species